UACGGGGGGGGUAAGCGUUGUUCGGAAUUACUGGGCGUAAAGGGCUCGUAGGCGGCCAACUAAGUCAGACGUGAAAUCCCUCAGCUUAACUGGGGAACUGCGUCCGAUACUGGAUGGCUUGGAUCCGGAAGAGGGAUGCGGAAUUCCAGGUGUAGCGGUGAAAUGCGUAGAGAUCGGGAGGAAGGCCGGUGGCGAAGGCGGCGCUCUGGAACAUUUCUGACGCUGAGGCUCGAAAGCGUGGGGAGCAAACAGG
rnacentral:rRNA from 1 species